rnacentral:rRNA from 1 species
AACGAACGCUGGCGGCAGGCCUAACACAUGCAAGUCGAGCGAGCAUUUCGGUGCUAGCGGCGGACGGGUGAGUAACGCGUGGGAACGUGCCCUUUUCUGCGGAAUAGUCCUGGGAAACUGGUGGUAAUACCGCAUACGCCCUUUUGGGGAAAGAUUUAUCGGAGAAGGAUCGGCCCGCGUUGGAUUAGGUAGUUGGUUGGGUAAUGGCCCACCAAGCCGACGAUCCAUAGCUGGUUUGAGAGGAUGAUCAGCCACACUGGGACUGAGACACGGCCCAGACUCCUACGGGAGGCAGCAGUGGGGAAUCUUAGACAAUGGGGGCAAUCCUGAUCGAGCCAUGCCGCGUGAGUGAUGAAGGCCUUAGGGUUGUAAAGCUCUUUCAGCUGGGAAGAUAAUGACGGUACCAGCAGAAGAAGCCCCGGCUAACUCCGUG